rnacentral:rRNA from 1 species
UACGAAGGGGGCUAGCGUUGCUCGGAAUCACUGGGCGUAAAGGGUGCGUAGGCGGGUCUUUUAAGUCAGGGGUGAAAUCCUGGAGCUCAACUCCAGAACUGCCUUUGAUACUGAGGAUCUUGAGUAUGGGAGAGGUGAGUGGAACUGCGAGUGUAGAGGUGAAAUUCGUAGAUUAUCGCAAGAACACCAGUGGCGAAGGCGGCUCACUGGCCCAUUACUGACGCUGAGGCACGAAAAGCGUGGGGGAGCAA